GUGCCAGCCGCCGCGGUAAUACGUAGGGUGCGAGCGUUAAUCGGAAUUACUGGGCGUAAAGCGUGCGCAGGCGGUUAUAUAAGACAGAGGUGAAAUCCCCGGGCUCAACCUGGGAACUGCCUUUGUGACUGUAUAGCUUGAGUGCGGCAGAGGGGGAUGGAAUUCCGCGUGUAGCAGUGAAAUGCGUAGAUAUGCGGAGGAACACCGAUGGCGAAGGCAAUCCCCUGGGCCUGCACUGACGCUCAUGCACGAAAGCGUGGGGAGCAAACAGGAUUAGAAACCCUUGUAGUCC
rnacentral:rRNA from 1 species